rnacentral:rRNA from 1 species
UACGUAGGGGGCAAGCGUUGUCCGGAUUUAUUGGGCGUAAAGAGCGUGUAGGCGGCCAUACAGGUCCGUUGUGAAAACUGGAGGCUUAACCUCCAGACGUCGAUGGAAACCGUAUGGCUAGAGUCCGGAAGAGGAGAGUGGAAUUCCUGGUGUAGCGGUGAAAUGCGCAGAUAUCAGGAAGAACACCCGUGGCGAAGGCGGCUCUCUGGGACGGUACUGACGCUGAGGGCACGAAAGCGUGGGGAGCAAACAGG